rnacentral:rRNA from 1 species
GACGGGGGGGGGCAAGUGUUCUUCGGAAUGACUGGGCGUAAAGGGUGUGUAGGUGGCGCCGUAAGUCGGGUGUGAAAUUUCGGAGCUUAACUCCGAAACUGCAUUCGAUACUGCGGUGCUUGAGGACUGGAGAGGAGACUGGAAUUCAUGGUGUAGCAGUGAAAUGCGUAGAGAUCAUGAGGAAGACCAGUGGCGAAGGCGGGUCUCUGGACAGUUCCUGACACUGAGACACGAAGGCCAGGGGAGCAAACGGG